rnacentral:rRNA from 1 species
UACGGGGGGGGCAAGCGUUGUUCGGAAUUACUGGGCGUAAAGGCUCGUAGGCGGCCAACUAAGUCAGACGUGAAAUCCCUCGGCUUAACCGGGGAACUGCGUCUGAUACUGGAUGGCUGGAGUUUGGGAGAGGGAUGCGGAAUUCCAGGUGUAGCGGUGAAAUGCGUAGAUAUCUGGAGGAACACCGGUGGCGAAGGCGGCAUCCUGGACCAAUACUGACGCUGAGGAGCGAAAGCCAGGGGAGCAAACGGG